AUGAAAACAAUGUCCGCUCUAGCUCGUUGACAUUCAAUUGAAAGAACUGGCAAACAAAGGUAACAAAUAACUUUGAUACUCACGUAAUAUUCUCCAUGCAAAAUUUCACAAGAAAGCCACCACGCAGCAUCACAGAUCACAAAAGACGAAAUUCCCAAGGUGAUAUUGAACGCCACUUUAACUUCUACACUGAGGAGAAGGCACUCAAGACAGAUAUCCGUUCAUGUUGUCUGCAACUGAUUCUAGACGUUUCAGCACCUGGGCAUGCUGGACUGGACAGUGGAUUGCUGAAAGGGAAACACCCAUUUGGUAAGGUUUCGAUGGCCAUUGAUAAUUGGAGAGAAGCAUUGGAAUGCAACAGCUUGUCUGGCUUCGUCUGGACCUAAGUUACACCAAACAGAACACGGGAUCUAAACAAAUUUAAAUUCAGAUUUUUUAGCUCAUAAUUUCAGCUGAAGUUUUCGUGUGACCUAGGUGCUUGUGACAAUAGAAGUCAAGAUAAUAAUGCAAGCUAUGUCUUCCAAAGCAAAAUAGUUUCUGUCAUUUGAUUUUUAUGAUAAUAUUUCAGGUUAACUUCCCCUGUCAAAUCAUGGUAAAUCUUCAAUAUAUUUAUGCCUUCCCCAGAUCUGGUUCUUUACUGCUAUCGCUUUUGCAGACAGCAGCAAAUGAUGCUGCCACUCAAGAGGUUUUGGUGACCUCCAUUUAGUUCUAAUUUAGGACAUGUAACAUUGAUAGAUUUGAGGUUAAUCCCUCACACCACUCUUAGUUGUUUGGAAACUGAUGAGAGAUUGCUCAUUGCUGGAAUUGAAGACUGAUUAAUUGUGUAGUUGUUAGAUAAGUUACAAGUGCAUAUCUGGGCUCCCUUGUUUUCUGCGGCCCCGUUUCCAUAACUAAUCACUAAUCAACGGCCGCCGGUGGUCAGUCACUCGCUGCGACAACUAGGAGGAAGGGAGUGCGCUGGUCGAACGGUGACUUGCAAGGCGGAUGAUCUAAUGAAAACUGUUGGAGGGUUAUGAAUCUAAGCCGGAAAUCUACAAUGAUUAAUCGCUUCCAAGCAAAACUAGCUUCCCAUUCUUCUCUCUUCAAGUCAAUCAAUAUUUCCUUCCUGAUUGAAUGCAUAUGCAAGUGAUAACACAUUAACAAGCAGACAAAUUUACGUUAGGCCUUGAUAUGUUUACUCAGGUCAGAUUUGUUGUUACAAAAUGUUACAUUGUUGGUACACAAAAAUGUUAUUUGUUAUUAUAAUUUCAUACCUACCUUACCAAUCAAUAUUCAAUAUCAAUAUACCUCAACAUGAAUAAAUAUAAAUUUCCCACGAA